rnacentral:rRNA from 1 species
CCUACGGGGGGCUGCAGUGGGGAAUAUUGCACAAUGGGCGCAAGCCUGAUGCAGCCAUGCCGCGUGUGUGAAGAAGGCCUUCGGGUUGUAAAGCACUUUCAGCGGGGAGGAAGGCGUUAAGGUUAAUAACCUUGGCGAUUGACGUUACCCGCAGAAGAAGCACCGGCUAACUCCGUGCCAGCAGCCGCGGUAAUACGGAGGGUGCAAGCGUUAAUCGGAAUUACUGGGCGUAAAGCGCACGCAGGCGGUCUGUCAAGUCGGAUGUGAAAUCCCCGGGCUCAACCUGGGAACUGCAUUCGAAACUGGCAGACUAGAGUCUUGUAGAGGGGGGUAGAAUUCCAGGUGUAGCGGUGAAAUGCGUAGAGAUCUGGAGGAAUACCGGUGGCGAAGGCGGCCCCCUGGACAAAGACUGACGCUCAGGUGCGAAAGCGUGGGGAGCAAACAGGAUUAGAUACCCCAGUAGUC